rnacentral:rRNA from 1 species
GACAGAGGGUGCAAACGUUGUUCGGAAUUACUGGGCGUAAAGCGCGUGUAGGCGGCUAUGCAAGUCGGAUGUGAAAGCCCUCGGCUCAACCGGGGAAGUGCACCCGAAACUGCAAAGCUAGAGUCUCGGAGAGGAUCGUGGAAUUCUCGGUGUAGAGGUGAAAUUCGUAGAUAUUAGGAAGAACACCAGUGGCGAAGGCGGCUCACUGGCUCGGUACUGACGCUGAGGCGCGAAAGCGUGGGGAGCAAACAGG